AGUGAACGCUGGCGGUAGGCCUAACACAUGCAAGUCGAACGGCAGCACAGUAAGAGCUUGCUCUUACGGGUGGCGAGUGGCGGACGGGUGAGGAAUACAUCGGAAUCUACUUUUUCGUGGGGAUAACGUAGGGAAACUUACGCUAAUACCGCAUACGACCUACGGGUGAAAGCAGGGGAUCUUCGGACCUUGCGCGAUUGAAUGAGCCGAUGUCGGAUUAGCUAGUUGGCGGGGUAAAGGCCCACCAAGGCGACGAUCCGUAGCUGGUCUGAGAGGAUGAUCAGCCACACUGGAACUGAGACACGGUCCAGACUCCUACGGGAGGCAGCAGUGGGGAAUAUUGGACAAUGGGCGCAAGCCUGAUCCAGCCAUACCGCGUGGGUGAAGAAGGCCUUCGGGUUGUAAAGCCCUUUUGUUGGGAAAGAAAAGCAGCAGGUUAAUACCCCGCUGUUCUGACGGUACCCAAAGAAUAAGCACCGGCUAACUUCGCG
rnacentral:rRNA from 1 species